rnacentral:rRNA from 1 species
UACGGGGGGUGCGAGCGUUGUCCGGAAUCACUGGGCGUAAAGGGCGCGUAGGUGGCGUGAUAAGGGUGUGGUGAAAGCCCGGGGCUCAACCCCGGGUCUGCCAUGCCGACUGUCAGGCUGGAGUACUGUAGGGGCAGGCGGAAUUCCGGGUGUAGCGGUGGAAUGCGUAGAGAUCCGGAGGAAGACCGGUGGCGAAGGCGGCCUGCUGGGCAGUUACUGACACUGAUGCGCGGCAGCGUGGGGAGCAAACAGG